AAUGACUGUGCUGUGGGAUUUGACAGUUGCAACAUCUAAUCUGCCUCCCAGGCGCUGCUCACUUCCAGGGAGUUCCACUGGCCCUCCCUCAGACUGAUGUAAGAACUAGCCACAACUUUAAUUAUGAGUCUUCUGGAAAGAACCAGGGAGACCGUCUCCCACACCAUGACUCCGUCUGCUCUGCGAUGAAUGAACAAGCCAGCUCUUAGGGCUAACUCCCCAAACAGGCGUCAAACCCAAAGCGUAUCAGGGCAUCUGCUGAGAGGAAGGUGAGCAGAUGGUGGAGGACUCAUCACUCAAGGAAUCCCAGUUGCCUCCAUAUCAUGUGCUUCUAAAGCAACUCUUCCAAAACGACACAACUUAUAUCAGCAUCAUCUGGCUGUCUGGCACCAUCAAAGAACUGCCUUUCUGACC
rnacentral:lncRNA from 1 species